UAUUAUAUUGUUGACUAGUUAAAAGUCUCGUAGUUGUAAAGUUUGGGUACUUUAUUGUUAUUGGUUUAUCUUUUGAUGAACUGUAUGAUGGGUUUCUUCCUACUAGAGUUCGAUUCUGUUCUUAACUGAAUGGAGUAGCUAUCUUUCGGGGGUGGUCAGUUGGUUAUUAUAUCUCCACUAAUAAGCAGAGAGGGGUUAAACCUUUGAAGUAAGUUUUGUGGGUCAAGGUAUAAUGGUGAAUUGGAGUUCUAGUUCAUUUACUUUGAGAAAAUUAGAGUGUUUAAAAGCAGCCUCUUGGGGCACUGAAUACAUUAGCAUGGGAUAAUAAAAUAGGAUCUUUACAAUAUAUUUUAUUGGUUUAAAUUGAAAUAAAGAUAAUGAUUAAUAGGGACAGUUGGGGGUAUUCAUAUUGGGUGGUUAGCGGUGAAAUGCUCGGAUCCAUUCAAGAUGAACUAAAGCGAAAGCAUUUACCAAGGAUGUUUUCAUUAAUCAAGAACGAAAGUUAAGGGGAUCGAAGACGAUUAGAUACCGUCGUAGUCUUAACUAUAAACUAUGCCGACCAGGGAU
rnacentral:rRNA from 1 species